rnacentral:sRNA from 1 species
UACCACCAUCUCUAGCAAGCCCACGCCCAC